GAAAAUUCAAAUUGGCAGGUAAAACUGUCAUAUUUGGUAAAGUUUAUCUUUUAUACUGACGGUUACACAGUAGUCGAGGGCGGCACAUUAAAUUGGCAGUCAUGAUUACGAAUUUGAAAGGGUUGCGUCCGGAUUGAGCUUUAGAUAUUUAACAGAUUGGGCCUCCCCUUAGAUUUCCGGUCUUGAUCCGUCUUUCCAGUAUCCUUGUUGUUCCCAUCCUUCAUCAGUUGGACCUUGGUAAGUCAUACUUUGGGCCCAUUUCAAUCCUGUUGGAUCUCAUAAUAU
rnacentral:lncRNA from 1 species